AAUGAGAUAGCUGGGUCAAAUGGUGGUUUCAUUCCCAGUUUUCUGAGGAAUCUCCAUACUGCUUUGCAUAGUGGUUGCACCAAUUUGCAGUCCCCCCAGCAAU
rnacentral:pre_miRNA from 1 species